UACGUAGGGGGCAAGCGUUGUCCGGAUUUAUUGGGCGUAAAGAGCGUGUAGGCGGCUUGGCAAGUCCGCUGUGAAAACUCGAGGCUCAACCUCGAGACGUCGGUGGAAACUGUCUGGCUAGAGUCCGGAAGAGGAGAGUGGAAUUCCUGGUGUAGCGGUGAAAUGCGCAGAUAUCAGGAAGAACACCCGUAGCGAAGGCGGCACUCUGGGCCGAUACUGACACUGAGGAGCGAAAGCGUGGGGAGCGAACAGG
rnacentral:rRNA from 1 species